GUCCUGAUGGCCUGCACUCCAGCAGCUUCGGAGCGGAACUGCUGUCAGACAACAUCUCCAAGACACUACAAACCAAGUGACUGCCUACCGUCAAAUUAUUCGUAAACAUGGAAUGAACUUCCACUGUUAUGCUGAUGAUACAGAGCUGUAUGUUUGCAACUGAACAAUAACAAUAAACAACAACUGAAGAAUAGCGAAAAACUCCAACUGUUUUCGUGCUUACUUGAAGACGAUGAGGCGGAGCAGCAUCGGAGAGACAGUUCGCUCCAUUCUCCAAAGAAUCGGGGAGAACAGUCUGUGGUGUAUGUUUUCGUUGAAAGCGCCAAAAGGUGGGAAGCUGGCUUUGACUGAUCAGGAUGAAGUGUAUGGCCUUGUACACUAUAUUGCCGAACAAGCACAUGGACGUGAAUAUACUGUUGCCGGUUGCAGAGAGGCCAUCGGCAGCUACCUAAAAAAUGCCCCAGGCAGGAAAAGUGUCAAGAAACACAUUAUGUGUUUAUGAUGAAGGUUAGAAUUUAAAUCUACAACUUCUGUGGUUCUUUUUCUUUUCUCAUUCAUACAAAUGUGCCAUUGUGUAACACUGUUGACUGACUCAUUAGUUUUUAUAUCCCUUUGAAAAGCAAAAACCUUUCCACUAUGCAUAUAACUGAAAGUGCAUACAUGCUCCAAACCUUUUGUGAAUACUGAUGAUUGAUUUGGAGGUUUCAAAUUUUGAGUGAAUUGUGGUUCACUUUCUUGCGAUCAGGAAUGUGUAGCUAAUGUCUGUAGUUUACUGAUUCCGAAAUUGUUGGUUCAGACUGCAUCAUAUAGUACUAGUAUAUAACAAUGAAAUGAAAUGCCAUAUAUUCAGAUAUAUCCACUGUCUGUUCACAGCAGAGCUACAUGGGAUCUCUAGUGCGUCCUGCAAGAAUUGGGCCUGAGUCCAGUUCAGAUUCAAUUUUGUAAUUCCUCUCCCUCGCGUGACAGCCUCCAAACAGUACAAUUCUAAUGAGCUUGAAUAUACGGAGAAUUCCAUUGGGUUUGAUGUCUGACUAAUAAUUUUUUUCUUUGAUUAGCAAUACAUAGGAACUAUAUCUGGCUAUUUUGUGUGUUACAAUAUUGAAUGUCAUUUUUCAGCUUUUAACUUCGUCUGCAUUUACUAAAAUUCAUGCAUGUUUAUUAAAAAUAUUCAUGGAGUUUGUUAAACUAUAUAAUUGUUGUCUGUCAUUCAUAAGAUUCGUCAUGUGAAUUCCAUAGACCAGAAUCUAACAUCCACAUUAUUGAAGCUUGUUUAAUUACGGGUUUGUUAAAGCAUGCGGUAUGUUAUAUGCUUUAAUUGUAUCUUGCCACAUAAUGUUGGAAAAUGAGUACUUGUGUACUUUUCAAGAAAUUAGAUACAAAAAGGAUUACACAUAUCUGAUUAGAAAAAAUAGCAUCAUAAUGUGUGUAACUUUGUGUAUAAAUAUUGUGUAGUGUAUUUACACCACAUUAUGAGGUGUAUAUACAGGCAAUUACAAAAUACUAUGUGCAUGUUGUUGAGUCUUUCUGGAAUUCUAUAUCCCUGUUUUAUAAAGCACUGAAUGGUUUGGGUCCAAUAUAUAUUUCUGAUCUACUGGUACAUUAUGAACCAUCCAGACCUCUGAGGUCAUCUGGAACAGGUCUGCUUUCUGUUCUCAGAGUCAAAACUAAAUGUGGAGAAGCAGCAUUUAGUUUUUAUUCUCCACAUAUCUGGAACAAACUCCCAGAAAACUGCAGAUCUGCCAAAACUGUCAGUUCUUUUAAAUCAAGACUGAAGAAUUUUCUUUUUGCUGCUGCUUUUAAAUCAAUCAUCAAGGUAUUUUAAUUAAUAUCUUAUGCUGCACUGUAACCUUUUUAAUCUGUUUUAACCUGUUUUUUAUUUGUUUGUUUUUAUUACUUUUUUUUAAUUUAUUUUAUAUAAUGUGUAUGAACUCUUUUUAAUGUCUUCUUUUUAAAUGUUGCUUUGUGUUGCUUUUAUGUAAAGCACUUUGAAUUACCCUGUUGCUGAAAAUGUGCUAUACAAAUAAAUUUGCCUUGCCUUUGUG